UACGUAGGGGGCAAGCGUUGUCCGGAUUUACUGGGCGUAAAGCGCGUGUAGGCGGCCACGCAGGUCCGUUGUGAAAACUGGAAGCUCAACUUCCAGACGUCGACGGAAACCGCAUGGCUAGAGUCCGGAAGAGGAGAGUGGAAUUCCUGGUGUAGCGGUGAAAUGCGCAGAUAUCAGGAAGAACACCAAUGGCGAAGGCAGCUCUCUGGGACGGUACUGACGCUGAGACGCGAAAGCGUGGGGAGCGAACAGG
rnacentral:rRNA from 1 species